rnacentral:rRNA from 1 species
CCCUUAGAUGUCCGGGGCCGCACGCGCGCUACACUGAAGGAAUCAGCGUGGCUUUCUCCCUGACCCGAAAGGGUUGGGAAACCCGUUGAAUCUCCUUCGUGAUAGGGAUUGGGGCUUGAAAUUGUUCCCCAUGAACGAGGAAUUCCCAGUAAGCGCGAGUCAUAAGCUCGCGUUGAUUACGUCCCUGCCCUUUGUACACACCGCCCGUCGCUACUACCGAUUGAACGGUUUAGUGAGGGCCUCGGAUUGGUCUCGGCCCGCUCUUUACCGGGCGGCGUCGUUGGUCGGGAAGACGCUCGAACUUGAUCGUUUAGAGGAAGUAAAAGUCGUAACA